rnacentral:rRNA from 1 species
GAGUAGCGCAAGGGUGCGUAACACGUGGGUAAUUUGCCGUGAAGUUGGGGAUAACUCGCUGAAAGGCGAGCUAAUACCGGAUGUGAAGUUCGGGUGGCAUCACCUGACCUUUAAAGCUGGGGAUCGUAAGACCUGGCGCUUCAUGAUAAGCCCGCGGCCUAUCAGCUAGUUGGUGAGGUAACGGCUCACCAAGGCUAAGACGGGUAGCUGGUCUGAGAGGACGACCAGCCACACUGGAACUGAGACACGGUCCAGACACCUACGGGUGGCAGCAGUCGAGAAUUUUUCUCAAUGGGCGCAAGCCUGAAGGAGCGACGCCGCGUGGGGGAUGAAGGGUUUCGAUCCGUAAACCCCUGUCAUUUGUGAACAAUGGUUAUUGUUUAAGAGAUGAUAACUUGAUAGUAAUGAAAGAGGAAGGGACGGCUAACUCUGUGCCAGCAGCCGCGGUAAUACAGAGGUCCCGAGCGUUGUUCGGAUUCACUGGGCGUAAAGGGUGCGUAGGUGGCAUGGCAAGUUUGAUGUGAAAGCUCAGGGCUUAACCCUGAAAUGGCAUUGAAUACUGCUGUGCUGGAGGUUUGGAGGGGGGACUGGAAUUCUUGGUGUAGCAGUGAAAUGCGUAGAUAUCAAGAGGAACACCAGUGGCGAAGGCGAGUCCCUGGACAACACC